UACGUAGGUGGCAAGCGUUGUCCGGAAUUAUUGGGCGUAAAGCGCGCGCAGGUGGUUCUUUAAGUCUGAUGUGAAAGCCCCCGGCUCAACCGGGGAGGGUCAUUGGAAACUGGGGAACUUGAGUGCAGAAGAGGAAAGUGGAAUUCCACGUGUAGCGGUGAAAUGCGUAGAGAUGUGGAGGAACACCAGUGGCGAAGGCGACUUUCUGGUCUGCAACUGACACUGAGGCGCGAAAGCGUGGGGAGCGAACAGG
rnacentral:rRNA from 1 species